rnacentral:rRNA from 1 species
CGUGUAGGCGGCUUAACAAGUCAGAUGUGAAAUCCCUGGGCUUAACCCAGGAAGUGCAUUUGAAACUGUUUGGCUGGAGUAAGGGAGAGGAAAGUGGAAUUCCUGGUGUAGAGGUGAAAUUCGUAGAUAUCAGGAGGAACACCGGUGGCGAAGGCGACUUUCUGGCCCUAUACUGACGCUGAGACGCGAAAGCGUGGGUAGCAAACAG